GAACGCACAUUGCGCCCCUUGGUAUUCCGGGGGGCAUGCCUGUUCGAGCGUCAUUAUAACCCUCAAGCCUAGCUUGGUGUUGGGGCAUGCUUCUGCAGCCCUUAAAAUCAGUGGCAGUGCCCGUUGGCUCUAAGCGUAGUAAUACUCCUCGCUAUAGAACCCAGUGGAUACGCGCCAGAACCCCAAAUUUUCUAUGGUUGACCUCGGAUCAGGUAGGGAUACCCGCUGAACUUAAG
rnacentral:misc_RNA from 2 species